UCAUAAACAACCAGGAUGUUGGCUCAGAAGCAGCCACCAUUUAAAGAGUGCGUAAUAGCUCACUGGUCGAGAGACCCUGCGCCGAAGAUUCCCGGGGCUAAAGUACGAAACCGAAGCUGUGGCUGUAUACGUAAAGUAUACGGGGUAGGGGAGCGUUCCCAUAGGGUAGAAGUCGAACUGGAAGGUUCGGUGGACUUGUGGGAAGUGAGAAUGUUGGUAUGAGUAGCGAAAAGAAAGGUGAGAAUCCUUUCCACCGAAAGCAUAAGGAUUCCUGAGCAACGAUCGUCGUCUCAGGGUAAGUCGGGACCUAAUCCGAGGCAGAGAGCGUAGGAGAUGGACAACUGGUUGAUAUUCCAGUACCGGUAGUAAUUGUUUGAGCAAUGGAGUGACACAGAAGGGCAGGCAAGCAUGCGAAUGGAAGAGCAUGUGUAAGCGUGUAGGGUGGUGCAUAGGCAAAUCCGUGCACUGAAAGCCUGAGGCGUGAUGCGGAGUGAGCAGAGAUGCGAGCGAAGUUGUUGACCCCACACUGUCGAGAAAAGCUUCUAGUGAGAGAGCUACCGCCCGUACCGUAAACCGACACAGGUAUGCGGGGAGAGAAUCCUAAGGUGCGCGGGAGAACCCUCGUUAAGGAACUCGGCAAAAUGUACCCGUAACUUCGGGAUAAGGGUAGCCACUGUUGUGAAGUCCCAUGCGGAUGGAGCAUAGAGUGGUCGCAGAGAAGAGGCCCAAGCGACUGUUUACCAUAAACACAGGUGCCUGCUAAAGCGAAAGCUGACGUAUAGGUGCUGACACCUGCCCAGUGCCGGAAGGUUAAGGAAGGAUGUUCGGAUUAGUCCAAAGCAUUCGACUGAAGCCCCGGUGAACGGCGGCCGUAACUAUAACGGUCCUAAGGUAGCGAAAUUCCUUGUCGGGUAAGUUCCGACCCGCACGAAAGGUGUAACGACUUGGGCACUGUCUCAACGAGGGACCCGGUGAAAUUGAAGUACCUGUGAAGAUGCAGGUUACCCGCGACUGGACAGAAAGACCCCAUGGAGCUUUACUGUAACCUGACAUUGGGUUUUGAUACAUUACGUACAGGAUAGGUGGGAGGCUUGGAAAGCUGGACGCUAGUCUGGCUGGAGCCGACGUUGGGAUACCACCCUUGAUGUAUUGAAAUUCUAACCGCGAGAGUAACGAAAUCCGGGACAGUGUCAGGCGGGCAGUUUGACUGGGGCGGUCGCCUCCGAAAGAGUAACGGAGGCGCCCAAAGGUUCCCUCAGCGCGGCCGGAAAUCGCGCGAAGAGUGUAAAGGCAGAAGGGAGCUUGACUGCGAGUCAAACACGACGAGCAGGUACGAAAGUAGGGCUUAGUGAUCCGGUGGUACCGAGUGGAAGGGCCAUCGCUCAACGGAUAAAAGCUACCCUGGGGAUAACAGGCUAAUCUCUCCCAAGAGUCCAUAUCGACGGGGAGGUUUGGCACCUCGAUGUCGGCUCAUCACAUCCUGGGGCUGGAGCAGGUCCCAAGGGUUGGGCUGUUCGCCCAUUAAAGUGGUACGUGAGCUGGGUUCAGAACGUCGUGAGACAGUUCGGUCCCUAUCCAUCGCGGGCGCAAGAGAUUUGAAGGGGGCUGCUCCUAGUACGAGAGGACCGGAGUGGACGAACCGCUGGUGUACCAAUUAUCCCGCCAGGGGUACAGUUGGGUAGCUACGUUCGGAAAGGAUAAACGCUGAAAGCAUCUAAGCGUGAAACCAGCCUUAAGAUGAGAUCUCUCAUAGAGCAAUCUAGUAAGACACCUUAAAGAAGAUGAGGUUGAUAGGUCGGGAGUGUAAGUACAGCAAUGUAUUGAGCGGACCGAUACUAAUAUGUCGAGGGCUUGACUUA
rnacentral:rRNA from 1 species